rnacentral:tRNA from 2 species
UCCCGGUUAGCUUAGUUGGUAGAGCGCUCCACCGGAAAUGGAGAGGUCCCUGGUUCGAUACCAGAAUCAGGCG